GUGACUAUACGUUUAACGGCCGCGGUAUUUUGACCGUGCGAAGGUAGCGCAAUCACUUGUCUUUUAAAUGGAGACCUGUAUGAAUGGCACGACGAGGGCUUAACUGUCUCCUUCCCCAAGUCAAUGAAAUUGAUCUCUCCGUGCAGAAGCGGGGAUAGACCCAUAAGACGAGAAGACCCUAUGGAGCUUUAGACACUAAAACAGCCCAUGUUAAAAACCCUCACAAAAGAGACUAAACUAGAUGGUCCCUGUCCUAAUGUCUUUGGUUGGGGCGACCACGGGGUAACAAAAAACCCCCGCGCGGAACAGAAACACUGUUUCCAGAACCAAGAGCACCCGCUCUAAGUAACAAGACCCACUUGACCUUUGAGAUCCGGCAUUAGCCGAUCAACGGACCGAGUUACCCUAGGGAUAACAGCGCAAUCUUCUUCGAGAGUUCAUAUCGACGAGAAGGUUUACGACCUCGAUGUUGGAUCAGGACAUCCUAAUGGUGCAGCCGCUAUUAAGGGUUCGUUUGUUCAACGAUUAAAGUC
rnacentral:rRNA from 1 species